GCAUUGUCAUGCUACCUAUUUCUUCUGUCAUCCUCUUCAUAAUCCUCUAUCAAAUCCAUCCAUCCUUAAUCUUUUCCAUCCCGUCCAUAUUUUCCCAUCCGAUGUUUGGACACAUUUCGUGUAGGGUUUUCCAGCUCCAGAUCUGGUUUUCGAGGGGCCUUGCAAUUUAAAUCAACUAAAUACUUUUCUUUUUGCAUAGAUUUCACCUAGCGGAUGCUUACGUGACGGGAAGAGAAGAUGCACCUCAGAUUGUGGUGUUGCAGGAGUGGUAGGGAGUUGACUACGAGAUUAAGAAUCAUGCAGCUAAUAUAGCUAAAAUGGAUUCUGGUUAUAAGACUCUCAUUCCCGAGUAAGUUUUUUUUUACCAUCUUCAUAAAGAUAUGCAACAUUGUCAAUUGCAGAGCCUGUUGAAUUAAAGACUUUUAUGUAGUAAGUUUUAGAUUGAGACAAUUGAUAGGCUUUCUAUUUAACUUACUUGUUCCUGACCACUUGAGUUAAGCUUCUCCUAGCAUACAAAAAUUGACAAAACAAGCUUAUAAGGUUUAGUUUCUCUCUAUUUGGAUUUUCCUAAAUAGCAAUGUUGUAUUUGUGUGGAAAGUAAUAUGAUGUUUUAAUGAAGGUAAAGUUUGAGGUACUUGUUUUUUGUAGUUUGUAUCGUGGGAAAGUUGGUUUGGAUGUUGCAGAAGCAAAACAUUUGAUGGAUGGCCUUUAUUGGAUAGGCGAUGUUAAAGAUAUAAAGGCAUCUGCGAAGUGGUUGAAGGAAAAUGGUUCAAAAAAGGUGAGCGUUAAAGCUUUAAUUGCACGAAAUCUAAAGUUAUAUGUCAUGAAGUUGGCAACUUAAAUUUCAACAAUGUUUUUCUCUUCCUUUGUUAAUUUAGUUUGUGGCAUCGAUGAGGUGUGCCUAAAGUUUCAUUUUGCUCAAGUUCUACAAGCUGGUUUCUAUGACUAUUCUUUAUCAUUCAAUUAUUUUGUUACUAUUUUGUGUCACUGAGAUUAUCUUCUUGAAUGUGUAAGAAGACUACUGCACUUUCAGUAUUUGCAAAUGGGAUUGUCCUCUUCAUCAGAUAUUGUUACCUAUAGUUUCAUUCAGAUUUUGAGAGCUUUUGAUGGAUUGUUAAUAAUGUUUAAUCUUUGAUGUCCUAAUCUCUAGGAAAGUCAGUGAUCCUUGUAGGUUUAUUUUCUUUGAAUGUCAUCAUUUUCACCUUUUCAUUGCUUUGUGACAGUCUCAAGCAACUUCUCUGUUCUUUUUGGCAGUGAUAUCUUCUUGUAUUAGUGUCUUUUAUGCUUGUGUUUUGUCUUCUCACUGUGGCCCUUGUUUGAUGUCAUACUUUCAUCAACUAUUGUUGCUACUCAAAGCCAUUCUCACUAUAAAAAACUUUGUAUAUUCCAAUUUGACUAUUACAAGUCCUUGUUCCACCUAAUUUGAUGUUUGUUGCAUUGAGCUUACAUGAUAGUCAUGCUUGUGCAUACCUCUACCCUUCUCUUACAUUCACUGUAUUUUUAUCUUGCAAAUGGUAUGUGGCAGUGACUUACAAAUGUGUCUCUGUUCAUAUAGCAUGAUUGAGAUUUCUCCUUAUUCAUUUCUUAACUGCUUCAAACCCUGCCUAUCCUAAAUCUUGAUGCACUUAUACUCAACCCUGGCUGUCACUAUUCUUCUCGUAACUGUGUUCUACUAUAUACAUGUAACAAUCCUCUUGAUUUUUUUAUAAUUAUGGAAAAGUGCAGUGUAAGAAGACAUUAAUCAAAUUGCAUCGUUUCAGGAAGCAAGUGAAAAAUUUUGAAGACAGGUAAAAUAAAUGUGACUAGUUGUGGGAAACGAAUGAAUUAUUCCAUUGAUCAAGUACAAGCUGUGGGUUUGCGUAGAACCUGCCUCAGGAACUGCAUCUAUUAAUUUCUUCCCUUUUCUAAAUUUUUCUCAAAUAAUAUGUUCCAUAUCUUCUGCCAAACUACCCAUCGAUGGUGGCAGGAAAUUUGACUUUUUGUAGUAUGAGUGCAUAAAUAGAAGUAAUCAAUGAGUAAUGUAAGUGUCAUGUUUUGAGAAUCUUUUAGAAACUUGAAAACAUGUCAAUGUUGCAGCAGCUGGUGGCCUUUAUCUUAUUUGUUUUCUCAUCUUCACUUCCGUUCAACUUCAGAGUGGAGAGCGUAGGAACCAAUAUCAAGGUAAAUCGACAAACCAUAAUUAUAGUGUCAAUACUUACAACUUCUAUUUGGGUAUUAUUAAGUGGAAAAAUGCUGAUAAAAUGUAUUGCUUGAUCUACAAAACUAUAUCGUAUACAUGGGUGGUAGUAGAGCCCAUCAAAAUCUAGAGGCUGAAAAGUUGUAUAAUAGUAGAGCCCAUAUAAAUUAAGUCUCAUUAGGGCUAGUAUACGAAAAAAAUUAAAUUGUUGAUGGAUGUAUCAAAUCAGGUUCUUGUGAUCUUUUCUAAUCUAUUUUCUUGAUUGCUAUGAAGUUAUAGCAUAAAUAAUAAAGGCUAGUAGAAUUUAACUGGCAGUUAUUAAUACCAUGUAAUCUUUAGCCAUUUUAUAACAAAGACAUAAAAUCUAACCUGAAUUGGAAUGUUGAACAGAAAUGAUUAUGACAAACCUCCAGUUUCUAAAUUUUUAUUGGAAGGUGUUUGGGAACAUAAAUUUCAGAAGGCAUGUGCUCAUUCAGAUGUUCCUGAUCUUCCAUUUGCUUGUGAAAUUAGGAUGAUCGGGUUGCUACACUUUGAUUAAAUGGUGAAUCAGUGAGGGCGGCUAUUCAUGCUGAGAAGGUAUGCCAUCAAUUUCAAAUGGUUGUGUCUUCUUUCAUUUGCUUGCAACAUUGUGUUUUUGUGGAAAAUAAAUUUAUUGUCUCUUUUGCCCCCUUUUCAGUAAGAUAUUAGAACCUACUUUGUAGAACUUAAGAAUUAUGCCAAAAUAUAUAUAUUUUUGUAACAUGUUGUUUCUUGACUAUUAAAUCAUCUACUUUAUGAAAUGUGUGAGAAUGGAUAGUCUUCUGACCGUUGCCAAAAUCUUGCCCUUCAACUGAGGGGACUUCUGUUGGACUUUCUUCCAUUGAGUAAAGCUUGAUCUUUUUAAAAUUUCUUCAACUUUGUGGCUUCGGUUUGAUUGAAAAAAGGUUACGAAUCCUCCUUUUCUUUUGGGUCAAAUUGGAGACACCCCAGGCACUUUGAAUUUAGGAAUGGUCCCCAAAUGUUAGAUUUGAUCGAUGAGGAGGGAGCUUAUGUGUCAAAUUCCACAUCUGUUAACCUUUUAAGAAUAUUAUGAUUUUAAUUGUAUUUCGUGUCCCCUCCUCCCCUAAGAUUCUGGAUUGACUCGUAAGCCCAUUUUUCAUUCCUCAUGGACUUGGGGAAAGUAACGUAGGGAAAUGAAAGUACUUAAAUUAAGAACCUAGAUUAUGGGGGCUGCAGGUGUUAUGUAAAAGAGCUAUUAUUUUUAAAAGAAUGUUGUUAGCCAAAGAUUAUGUGGGUGUAUUUUGGAGGGAAGGGAGAAGAAUUUGAAAUUUGCAUACUUAAUCGAGACAGGGAUCCAGAGAAUGCAUGCUUGUUUAUCCAUUAAAUUUACUGCAAUAGAUUGGACACCCUAUUCAUCUAUCACUAGAAAGUGGAGGACAAAACCUCCUAGUUUCCAUGGCUAGUUGGUAGACGAAACCCCUUGAACCAGUUGUGAGCAACUCCACACAAAGAUAGUUAUUGAGCUUCAUUGAUUUGUUGUUUGGACAAGACUUGCUUAUCUAAGUUUAAGGUGUCUCUUUUAGCACCUAGGUUUUGUAAUUAUGAGGUGGUUCCUACAGCACCAUUGGCUAUAGAUUCAUCAUAUUUCUUGAUUAUAAUAUUGUUGUUAUUGUUCUUUAAAGCCAAGUCAAGUAAAUUGACUGUAAAUGUAAUUUUUGUUGUAAAAAGAGAAGUAAUUAGUUAUUGUGAGUUGCUAUGUUGAUUGUUCGUUUUGCAAGAGUUUAUAAUUCAUUUCUACAUAUUCUACUAAGUAUAUUGCUUGUUUCAUUAGAUUUGAUUUGAAUUAAGAUUUAUUCAUUGGUGUUCCUUGAAGUUAAAUGCUGAUUCAAUCUUUGUAGCGAUGCUAAUUUUCUUGCUGCCUUCGACAAUGCCACAAACAAUGGAGUAGAUAUCAUCUCUAUUUCAAUAGGUCCUCUUCCUCCUCAACCAAGCUUUUUUGUUGAUAGCAUAUUGAUUUCAUCUUUCCAUGCCUUCAAAUAGGGAAUUUUUGUCUCCGCAUCUACUAGAAACAGUGGAAUGCCAAACAUCGCUACCAAUGUUGCUCCAUGGAUUUUCACAGUUGCAGCCUCCUCCAUCGACAAAAGUUUCAAGUCCGAUGUACUUCUCAUAGACAAUAUAACACUUCAUGUAUUUAUCUCUUAAUUCAACCCAAUAUAUAUAUAUAUAUAUAUAUAUAUAUGUUUGUAUCAAAUCCACCUAGUAUAAACUAAGUUUUGCUUGUAGGGAGAAGCUGUAAAUCCUAUCACACAAAAUGGGUUCGCUGGCCUUGUCCUUGCAAGCAACUGUGCAACCCCUAGUGUUUCUCAGACAAAUGCAAGUUUUAUGACUGGUGAACACACUGGAUCCCACAAAAGUAAAUGGAAAAGUACCUAAAUAUACAUUAUUAGACCAUCAUUAGUUGGAUCCCACCUGGUGAAGCUUCAGAGGAGGACCUAAAAUAUGCUUUACUACAUGGUUCCUAAGGCCUUUGACAACAUAUGCUAGAUCGAGGGGAGAAAAUAGUCACGUGAGGAAGCCCAACAAUCAAAGUCAUCAGGUAGUGAGCAUGAAGAGGAGCUACAGGAACAUGAUGAAUUGUUUGUUACACAAAAUGAUUCCAUUGUCAUUCUUGAACCUCGACAGGAAACCAUCCUUGAAUUUCAGCAAGUGGGAGACAAGAAUAAUGACGAGGGUGUUCAAUGUGAUGAACAAUCCACAACCACAAUUAGAAUAGUGUAUCAUAGAAAGAGGACACAAAGGAAGAGGAUGGAUAGAAACAAAUGAACAAAAGACAUAUUUUCUUCCUAUCAUUGUUCAAUUUUCAUUGCAAUUAUAAACCUAUUUGUAUCAUCAUACUUGUUUAAUGAAUACUUGUCAAUUUAUUCA